UGUGGGUGGAGUUUGAAAUUCUGUGUGUAAUGCUGUCGGUUUGCUGUCUGGAGUGCUGUAAAUAGCUGCUGUAAAUAUUUUCCUGAAACUACAAGAUAAAAGCCUUCGCAGGAGAAAGACAACAAAUUGUCCUUUACACCCUUCAAUUGCCAUAUUCCAGUCAUGGAAUUCACCAGAGCAAGUGAACAAGAGGAGGAAGAAGAGCAACAGCAACAAUGAGGAAUCCCGCCGCCACCACUUUGUCAUCCCAAUCUCAUGCUGGAACUGGUCUGUUUCAAGAGAAUUGAUGAAUAUCCGUAUUCUAAUCUCAUCAUGCUGAGAUAGCCAGAUCUGAGAAAAAUUUCAGUGUCAGCACAAUUUUUUUUCACAUCUA
rnacentral:lncRNA from 1 species